UUAACUAGUAAUAGUUAUGUUCUUGAAAAUUAAAAAAUUUGGCGGUAUUUUAGUCUCUUCAGAGGAACCUGUUCUAUAAUCGAUAGUCCACGAUUAAUUUUACUUAUUUUAUUAAUUUGUAUAUCACCGUAGUUUGAGUAUUUUAUAAGAAUUAUAAUAUUCAAAAUUUUUUAUAAAAAAGGAAUUCAGAUCAAGGUGCAGUUUAUAAAUAAGCAGAAAUGGGUUACAAUAAAAUUAUUUAUAUGGUUAUAAAGUGAAAUACUUUAUUUAAAGUGGAUUUGAAAGUAAUAUUAUUUAUUUUAAUAAUAUGAUUUGAGCUCUAAAAUAUGCACACAUCGCCCGUC
rnacentral:rRNA from 1 species